CCACUGUUCUGUUCCAGGCAGACCGGUAGGUGUGGUUACUCUGCUCUAUUGAAGGUCACUGUAAAGAGCAGUUGGACUCCCAUACUCUCAUUCAGAUUGCUAGGUCGCCCUGUGAAGUGGUAUCCCAUCCUCAUUUUGUUCAGAUGGAAGAUGGAGCCUCAGAGAGCUGGUGACUAUGGACAACACAACCAGAUGGUUAUUCUGAGAAACUGCACCCAGAAAUAGCUCUGGAAAUCUGUUCUUCGGCUGAAGAAGUUUCCAUCAGUCUGCAGCAGUGGAGGGAAAGCAGCAGAUGCAGACAGAAGCUUCCUGGAUCUGCCCAGGAAAGAGUCUGGGAGCACCUCCCCAGGCAGAGGUGACCCAUGUGGCCUUCUGAGGCCCUCCUUGCCUGGCAGGGCAGCCUCUGGUCAUCCAUACCAGCACUCCCUAGGUUGAAGUCCUCACCUGCCCACAUCCAGGAAACCCCCAAACCUUAGUCCUUUGUUUACCACAAAAUGUUUAAUAAAUGUCAACCAUCUGGCCCUUCCCUUCA